CUAAAAGAGCCUGGCACAGCCCUCUGCCCCAUCUUUCUCUUGAUUCCUCUCUCUCCAUAUGUUCUCUGCACAUGCCAGCUCUCCUUCAUUUUCCACCAUUAAUGGAAGCAGCCUGAGACCCUCACCAGAUGCCCAAUGUUGCACUUUUCUAGACAACAGAAUUGCUGCAUAGGAAGCAUAGCGGUUUCUGCUCGGCUUCUGGUGAGGCCUCUGGAAACUUACAAUCAUGGCAUAAGAUGAAGAAGAAGUCAACACUGCACAUGGCUGGAGCAGGAGGAAGAGAGGGGGAGGUGCUACACACUUUUAAACAACCAGAUCUCACGAGAACUCAUUCACUAUCACGAGAACACCACCAAAAGGGGAAAUCCGCCUGCAUGAUCCAGUCACCUCCCACCAACAUUAGAGAUUACAACAGGACAUGAGAUUUGGGCAGGGACACAGAUCCAAACCAUAUCAGCAGGGAUGGGGAAAUAUGGGUCUAGGAAGGUGGUUUGUUUUAAGGUGAAAGACACCAGAGCAUGUGUGUAACCUCGUGGGACCAGUAGCCGGGGAGGAAUAGAGAUCAUGAUGAGCUGCAGCACUGCAUCCUCCUGCCCGAAGAUACCUGGAGUCACCCUGUCACCUGCUGCCCCUCCUCCUGGGUGCUGCACAUCAGCACGAUCCUGAGCUUCAGCUCUUCAUUAAAACUUGCAACCUUUUGUCCCCUUCCCAGUCCUAGGGACUCCAAUUCCUUCAGGAGAGUCAACAUUCUUUCCCCCUCAAAAGCCACAAGCUCCAUUUUCUUCCUUCCAAAGGUGCUGGACUUUGGAAACAAAGGCUUGUUCAUUGUCCUCUGCGUAUAGAAAAACACUGACCCUCUAGAAUCCAAAGCUCUGGAUACAUUUUUGGUACAUGGAGAGAAAUUCCCUUUCCUUCUGAGGCAAAGAUCCCACAGCUGACCAUGGAAGUCACAGUUAAACAUUCCAUCAGUUUAUUCUCUCCCAUCAAUUUUAAAUAACUCCCAGGCCACCUUUUUGUAAUUAGCUUUGUAACUGACGUACAUAGUGUUAUUUAAUAUGUUGUAAGCAUUUUCCUAUGUCACUAAAUCUUCUUUUACUAAACAGUCAUUAAUGGUUACACAUUAUUUUAUGUUUUGGACAUACCAUAAUUU
rnacentral:lncRNA from 1 species